rnacentral:rRNA from 1 species
GAUGAACGCUGGCGGCGUGCCUAAUACAUGCAAGUCGAGCGAACAGACGAGGAGCUUGCUCCUCUGACGUUAGCGGCGGACAGGUGAGUAACACGUGGAUAACCUACCUAUAAGACUGGGAUAACUUCGGGAAACCGGAGCUAAUACCGGAUAAUAUAUUGAACCGCAUGGUUCAAUAUUGAAAGACGGUUUUGCUGUCACUUAUACAUGGAUCCGCGCCGCAUUAGCUAGUUGGUAAGGUAACGGCUUACCAAGGCAACGAUGCGUAGCCGACCUGAGAGGGUGAUCGCCCACACUGGAACUGAGACACGGUCCAGACUCCUACGGGAGGCAGCAGUAGGGAAUCUUCCGAAAUGGGCGAAAGCCUGACGGAGCAACGCCGCGUGAGGGAUGAAGGUCUUCGGAUCGUAAAACUCUGUUAUUGGGGAAGAACAAAUGUGUAAGUAACUAUGCACGUCUUGACGGUACCUAAUCAGAAAGCCACGGCUAACUACGUG